CCAUCUUCUUCAAUAGCCUCAACUUCUUCAAUACUGGAAUCGUCAGAUACUGCCUGCUUUUCAGGAUUCUCAAGUUCGUUAUCAGCAUCAAUUAUUUGCUUAUCUUUAAGCAAAUACCUAAAAGUACCAAUUGCGUUUCUCUUGGCAAAGUCCAGUUGUUUACUCAAGCAAUUCCCCAUAUCAUCAGCACUACAUUUAUUUUUUUCACCGUAAUCAGCGUCUUUGGACCUGGAUAAG
rnacentral:misc_RNA from 1 species